rnacentral:misc_RNA from 1 species
UACGGAGGGGACUAGCGUUGUUCGGAAUUACUGGGCGUAAAGCGCACGUAGGCGGACCGAAAAGUCAGAGGUGAAAUCCCAGGGCUCAACCUUGGAACUGCCUUUGAAACUGCCGGUCUGGAGUUCGAGAGAGGUGAGUGGAAUUCCGAGUGUAGAGGUGAAAUUCGUAGAUAUUCGGAGGAACACCAGUGGCGAAGGCGGCUCACUGGCCAGAUACUGACGCUGAGGUGCGAAAGUGUGGGGAGCAAACAGG